rnacentral:lncRNA from 1 species
CAGUAGUGACCUCAAUGUCACGAAGCUUGGCCGCCCGCAUGGCGCACCUCUGCUACAUGGCAUCAACAUCCGGCUGGUCCUGGAGGCGGCAGCUCAUCCAUCGCCCCUCGGUGACAGGAUUCGGAAUCCCUCCAUAUGCGAUGAUAUCAUCACGAGCAGGCCCGUUGGGGGUAAGGCCUCCAGCCUCAUUCCCAAUAAGGCCGAGCCAGGCUGAAGCAACCUGGGAAGCGCCAUGAGCCGUCGUAGGAACCGUUGAGGCUCCCGACGCACCCAGCGUAGUCAGCCGGCAACCAGCGCACGGUGAUGCAGUGCGGGGCGCCCUAUCCAAAGGUGCGCAAGGGGAAGUGGGUGCGGGGGCCACCUGCCCGCGCUCCACGACGGCAGGCGUCGCUUGGACCUGCAGCUCAGUGGGCGUCGGUGAUACAUCUCCAACGUAUCUAUAAUUUUUGAUUGCUCCAUGCUAUAUUAUCUACUAUUUUGGACUAUAUUGGGCUUUAUUAUCCACUUUUAUAUUAUUUUUGGGACUAACUUAUUAACCGGAGGCCCAGCCCAGAAUUGCUGUUUUUUGCCUGUUUUAGGGUUUCGAAGAAAAGGAAUAUCAAACGGAGUCCAAACGGAAUGAAACCUUCGGGAACGUGAUUUUCUCACCGAAUACAACUCAGGAGACUUGGACCCUACGUCAAGGCACGUAACAGGAGGCCACGAGGUAGGGGGCGCGCCCUACCCCCCAGGCGUGCCCCCACCCUCGUGGGCCCCCUGUUGCUCCACCGACGUACUUCUUCCUCCUAUAUAUAUCCACGUACCCCCACUACACCACAACACUUGAUUGGGGGCAAUUAACUGCCGGGAGAAAUACCCGACCAAGGGCAAAUAAACUGCCAGGAUAUUAAUUUCUGCCAGUACAAGCAUCUUAGGGCAAGCAAACUGCCGGGAGAACUCGAGCAACGAUGGCACACUGACUGCCGGUACAAUCUAGGGCCCAUUAUCUGCCGGGACAACUAGAGAACGGCCCAUAUUCUGCCGGGGACCGUCUUCGGCGCGGCAAUGAAAAGUUUCAGCCCUAAGCGUGCGCUAGUGAGGAAAAAACGCGCGAGGGUGACAAGGAAUUUCGCCCAAAACAAACUUAGACGCGCCGGCCCACCGCACCAGACCGCAUCGCUGGCCCCCCAAAUCCCAAUCCACCCGUGCCCUACACCAUUGCGCCGCCGCCCCCAACAAUCUAACCUUCCACCGGCGGCCGCCCUCUAGCCAUCGCCAUCGCCAUCCCCAAAUCACUCAAUCUACUGGUUCCCGACACCAGAUCGCCGCUGCCCCCAACCGUUUGAUCCCUCCGCCGUCACCCCCACUCCCCCAGCACCGCAGCCCCUCCGCCGCCCCAAUCGGCCCCAGUGCCGCCGUCGCCCCCCACCACCGCAGCCCGUCCGCCGCCCCAACCAAUGCACUGCUGCGUCCUCCACCCAGACCACUGACGCCGUCGUCGCCCACCAUCGCAGCUCCUCUGCCGCCCCUAGCAUCCACUGUCGCUUCCUCCACCCAGACCACUGCCGCCGUCGCCCCCCAACCACUCCAGAGCGGCGCCGCCGAGCACCAAUUGACACGGAGCAUCCCAUCGCCGAGCCAAUCCACCGACGACCUUCCUCCUCCGCUGUACACCGUCGUUCCUCAGUUACCACCCUCCUCGCGAGCUUCCUCCCCCAAGCUAGCCCUCCGCACAUGCUCACCCGAGCCCCAAGGAGCUCCUCCGGCAAGCUGCACCUUCUCCACAGUUUAUGCCUUCACUAGAUUGUGACUUCUUGAAGCAAACACAGGAAGUUUCUGCUGCUAAUUUUUGCUUGUAUUGAUCUGUUGGGAGCCUUUAUGUACUUUAUACAGAUGCAGUUUAUCUUGCUACAAUUUUUUCUUGUAUUCAUCUGUUGGGAGUCUUUAUGUACUUUAUACUGAUUCACAUGUAAUAAGCAGCUUGUAGUAUUAGUGAAGGAACAACACCAGGAGACAACCCACUGACCAAGGAGCGCCCUUAUAUCAUCAGUAUCCACCGAAACAAUAGUGACCAUCGUAGUAGAUUAUAUAUGGCCGUGUCAACUGCAGUCUGGUCGUAGAUUUGAAGUUUGGUCAUCGUUCAUAUUGAUGUGAGUACACCAUGACCACCCCCUAGAGUGAACCAAAAUGAUGAGUCAUAACUGCUUCUUGUGCAAGCUUACUUUGUUCAUUUUCAAUGUAAUAUAUGGUAUUUAGAUUUUUUUCCCUAUUAAUAGAAGUAAACUUUCUUUUGUAUGUUACGCAAUGUAUUGCAUGGCCUUACAAGCAUGUAAGCUUAGGUCCUAUGAUUAAAUAUACAAUGACUAUCAUGGUUGAUUGCUUAAAACUCUUGCUUCUAUGUAUGCAGUUGGAAGUGAGUUAAUGGCAAAUGCGGCAAUGCGUUGCGACCACAAGCAAGCUGAGGAGGUAAUAUACAUGUUUCUUGGCUGAAUAUUUACAUUAGUGUGUACUAUCAAGGGCAGAUAGUAAUGGUUCGCUCAUUUGGUUGCUACAUGGUUAACUUGUGUCCAGAAAACUUGAGCUCCUGAUUCCAGUAUAUAGUAUUAAUUAGUAAUUCAAACAGAUCAUUAUAGUUCUUUAGAAGUGUGCUUUUGUGUCCAUCAGCCAUGAAUUUGGAGAGAGGUCAGUUGAAUAAAUAUGGUUACAAAUAUAAACUUUAAUUGGAUCAUCUUUCUUUCAUGUACACGAUAGACUCUACCAUGUAGAGAAAUGACUUUCAUUGGAUUCCAUGCUCACAACUUUCAUUUGAUUCAUUUCUCAUAACUGGAUCCUCUUUCUUUCAUGUACAUGAAGUAUUUUAGCUUGCUUGUUUGUUUGUUUGUUUGUUUGUCAAAAGCCUUGGUUUAUUUUUCUUGGCUAAUUCAACUUGUUGUCCAAGAUGUAGGAAAGUGAACCAAAUGUUCAUAGUGUUUCACUGGAUUUGUAAAUCUGUGGGCUUGUCCACUACUCAGAUACUCCCUCCGUCCCAAAAUAAGUCUCAUAACUUUUGUACAACUUUGUACUAAAGUUACAAAGUUGAUACACUUAUUUUGGGACGGAGCGAGUACCAUUUUAGGGGACCUUCAUUUGUAACUUGUCCAACAAAAGCAUGGAACCAGGAAACUAAACAACUCCCAUUAAAAGAUCCUGAAAUAUAUGUCCAGCUAGUUCCCCUCUUAUUCUGUGUAGCCAGCAAAUCAUUUAUGUAACUGAACUUUAAUAGCUCCUGCAAAGAGGGAGCAAAAAUUAAAAGGCUUGUUUAUGCAAUGGGACCAACAUUGAGUCAUCUUUACAAUAAGAGGCAAUGCUUCAGUGAAAAUCACAGUACUCCCAAUACACCCCUUCACCAGAUUCCGCAACAGGAGAAAUGUAGUUCAACUUCGUGUUCUGGAUGCAGGAAGUCUGUAAGCACAGUUGUCAUCAUUGCUCUAAGGAAAUACCACGCAAAACCACAAAAUGGUAUCGUCAUUUAUAGAUUUCCAGAUUCAUUAUCCUAUUAUGUUGUGCCAACUUCAUAUAGGAACUCAAAAUAAAUCAGCUUAUAUCCAAGGUCAGGCUCAAUAUCAAGGCCCACUAGAGACUGGACUAGCACACUGAAUCCACAGGUUCCGAUACUAAUGUGUAAUUGUAUUACUUUGAAGAAGCCAAGGUAUACGACAUACGAAAUUUUAAGAAGCACAACUAAACACCUGUUGCGUUCUGGUAGAGAAAAAGUACCAGGUGAAAAUAAGAUGCUAUAAUUUUGCAUAUGUGCUUGUUCAGUACACUAGCUUCAAAAUUUGCUUGUGUAAUGUUAAGUGUGUGAUCGUGGCCUUGUGCUUGUGUAAUAUUCGUACAGACUUUGCACACUAUAUUUGGAUGAGAAGUUAGAUAAGCUUGCUACUGUCAAGAUGAUAAAAAAUGGACAUGUUGAUGUCCAGGAUAUGUUGUCUACUAAAGUAGAGAUUACUCUAGAGAUCUCUACUAUUAAAGGAGAAUCGAACGUCGUGAUGGUUCGACCUCCUUCGCUCGCCCCCACCUCGUUCGAUCCCGUACGUGAAAACUUCUCCCCACACGCGAAAAAAACGGACCCCCUCGGCUCCUCCCCACCCGUCGCACGAAAAAAAUGACAACAAAAUAAAACAACGCACGUACGCACGUCCCACCCCCACUUCCCUUCCCCCAAAUCCCUUGCUCUCGAGAGAGGAAUUGCCGCCGCUGACCUCCUCAGUCCUCACGGUGACCUCGAGCGGUUGCACACUGCAACCAAAUUAGACUGGAGCAGUGGAUCCAAGCCCUUUCCAUCUCAUCCAUUCUUCACCGAGUCCAGGAGGAGCUCGAUGUAGGGAGGUAGACGAGCAAGAGCGCCGCGUCCAUGGCAACGAUGAACAGGGCAUAGGUAACGUAUCUUCCUACCCUCACUCCAACCCAUCUUCUCCCCGUAGCCUGUACUGGGGUACACCCACGUUCUCC